AUGCUUGUCUCAAAGAUUAAGCCAUGCAUGUCUAAGUAUAAGCAAUUUAUACAGUGAAACUGCGAAUGGCUCAUUAAAUCAGUUAUCGUUUAUUUGAUAGUACCUUACUACUUGGAUAACCGUGGUAAUUCUAGAGCUAAUACAUGCUUAAAAUCCCGACUGUUUGGAAGGGAUGUAUUUAUUAGAUAAAAAAUCAAUGCCUUCGGGCUCUUUGAUGAUUCAUAAUAACUUUUCGAAUCGCAUGGCCUUGUGCUGGCGAUGGUUCAUUCAAAUUUCUGCCCUAUCAACUUUCGAUGGUAGGAUAGUGGCCUACCAUGGUUUCAACGGGUAACGGGGAAUAAGGGUUCGAUUCCGGAGAGGGAGCCUGAGAAACGGCUACCACAUCCAAGGAAGGCAGCAGGCGCGCAAAUUACCCAAUCCCGAUUCAGGGGAGGUAGUGACAAUAAAUAACGAUACAGGGCCCUUUUGGGUCUUGUAAUUGGAAUGAGUACAAUGUAAAUACCUUAACGAGGAACAAUUGGAGGGCAAGUCUGGUGCCAGCAGCCGCGGUAAUUCCAGCUCCAAAAGCGUAUAUUAAAGUUGUUGCAGUUAAAAAGCUCGUAGUUGAACUUUGGGCUUGGCUGGCCGGUCCAUCUUUUUCGAUGCGUACUGGACCAGCCGAGCCUUUCCUUCUGGUAGCCAUUUAUGGCGAACCAGGACUUUUACUUUGA
rnacentral:rRNA from 1 species